AUCGCUAUGUGUUUUCAGCUCGGUGGAUUUAGGCUUCCUAUGGUAGUUGUUGGUGGCACUUUACUCGUGUUUUUACCUUUAAUUUGGAUACUUUUACCCAGACAAGACUACACCAAGACAAAGAAUGAGUGGCAAGGUCGUUUAAAGUUGUUCAAACGGGCGAUUUCCAUUCCAGAAGUCAUUAUAAUGUGCAUCUGUGGCUGUACCUGUGCUAUUUCAUUAACUUUCUUUGAGCCAACGUUACAGCCACAUGCAGAAAAG